CCUACGGGUGGCAGCAGGGAGGAAUAUUGGUCAAUGGGCGCGAGCCGGAACCAGCCAAGUAGCGUGAAGGAUGACUGCCCUACGGGUGGUAAACUUCAGUUAUAAAGGAAUAAAGUGAGGCACGUGUGCCUUUUUGUAUGUACGUUAUGAAUAAGGAUCGGCUAACGCCGUGCCAGCAGCCGCGGUAAUACGGAGGAUCCGAGCGUUAUCCGGAUUUAUUGGUUUUACAGGGGUCGUAGUUGGGUUGUUAAGUCAGUUGUGAAAUUUUGCGGCUCAACCGUAAAAUUGCAAUUGAUACUGGCAGUCUUUAGUACAGUUGAGGUAGGCGGAAUUCGUGGUGUAGCGGU
rnacentral:rRNA from 1 species